rnacentral:lncRNA from 1 species
CCUAGGUUAAUAUUGAAGAUACACAUGACCUGGGCAAUCUGCAUGUGAUGCCAGUUGAGCUCCCUAAAGGCAGUGCAACUUCAGAAGUUCUGAGCAGGGAAAAGGCUCUGUGGGACAAGCACCUAGAGUCAGAAGACAACCAGACCCUCAGACCAGAUCCUCCACGAUCCACGUGACAUUUGGGAGGCGCCUUCUGUCAUCCCCAACAAGGAGGGGGCGGAGCCUUCUCUGAUAAGCUUGGAAGUGAGCUGUGCCUGGCCAGUCUUGGGGGAGGAGCCGCAUUUCACCAGUCUGCAGCUGACAAGAAGCUUCAAGUAUCCUCCACAUUGUCCCAUUCAAACAACGUGUUCAAGCGCCCUUGGGAAACUCAGCUGGAGAAGAACAGGCCACACAAGCAGUAUACCCUUUAUGGUUCUAAGAAAAAAGAGGCUUUGAUUAGAGUAUUGCUUUUGGUAGAAACUGCCUUAGCGGUGUCAAGAAUAGCCAGACACCUCAAUCUCUGAAUAGUAACCUCUUG